CAGUCUUCAUUUUAAAGGCAAAACCUAAGAAUUAUUAUUUGUUAUUAAGUGGAACGAAAGAGAGAAAGAUGCUAGCUCAAUGGGGGUCACCGCUGGAGGGGGGAUCAGGAGGGCAACAGUGGCCUGCCUACAACCCACCACCCUCCAGCCAAGAGCAAGAGGGGUCCUCACUAAAGACAAUGGCACCUCUGAUCCAAGAAGAAGGUCCUCCUCUGUCCAAAACACAUAUACACACUUUCAAACUGAAAAGGAGUGAGAGAGAAGUCUCUGGGCACCUCCUGUCUCCUGGGGAGAGGAUGGUAGUGCACAUGGGUUAUGCUGGGGUAAGAAAUGGGUAAAGGAACAAAGGUGACGGAGCCGAUGCGUGAGGGGCUAAUGGCCACAGAGCCAUCUCAGCAUCCCCAGUACCUUUGGGUAGAGACACAAACUCUCUGGUCCUUUCUGCCCUGUCCCCUCCCACUGCUACCAGCAUAAUGUGUGGGGUGUCCCCUGCCAUGCCAGCCAUUGCAGAGACCCCGGAUAUUGCUGACCAGGUGAAGUCUCACAUUAUGAGAAAUAAAUUAAGAAAUUCCCUAUUUUUAAGGCUAUGGUAUUCAAGAACCAGGUGGUCGCAGGGACAACCCUCAAGGUUCACACUGGUGAUGAUCACAUCAUACGCUUCCAAGUAUUUACAAGUCUCCCUCAUGAAAACAAGCCCUUGCCCUCAUCUGACUACCAGGCAAAGGCCAACAGGACAAGCUGCUGUAUUUCUAAUUCCUGAUUUUCAAGAGGGCCUUUCAUCCAUAUGACUAAGACUUAAAAAAAAUUCUCUGCUGUUUGAAGCCAUGUAUCUGGGAACAUAUAAUAAACGCCAUCUAUAGGCUGUGCUGCUUGUGGUGGGAGGGGCAUAGUAAGCGGCUUCUCUCGUACUACAGUUCCUAAAUAUUAGUGUAUUUUUCCCUCCCAAUCAAUGAUCUCAAUUACUUUCAAAGAAGGCUAUAUAUCAUCUUUAAAUAUUUAUUUAAGUCUUUAAAAAAAAAAAAAAAAAAAAGCAAAACCCAACUCCUCACCCUGGCAGGCUUUGGAGGUGCCCCAGAAUGUCAACUUCAGCCUCUUCACUCCCAGGCCUUCCUUGCCCUGUCCUCUUCCCCGAUGCCCUCCUGUCCAGCUACCAGUAGUUCCACUGUCACCUGAAUGUACCGCUCCCUGUUUUCCACAGUGCCUUCGAUACGCUAUUUCUUUUAUCUGAAAUUGAAAUGUCUUCCAGGCCCCCCUUUGCAGUUGCUAUCCAUUCUGCAGAAGCCUCUUCCCACCUCUCCCCCACCCCACUGACAGUCUGACUGGAUAUGCAGUCAUGAGUCCAACAUCUUAUUUAUGACUUAUCUUCUGCUGUGUCCCUGAAUAGUGAUUUUAUUCUUGUAAUGUUGUUUCAACUUUCUGUUUUGUUUUUUUUUUUUUUUUGA